AUUGAACGCUGGCGGCAUGCCUUACACAUGCAAGUCGAACGGCAGCACGGGGCAACCUGGUGGCGAGUGGCGAACGGGUGAGUAAUGCAUCGGAACGUACCUUCCAGUGGGGGAUAACGUAGCGAAAGUUACGCUAAUACCGCAUAUUCUGUGAGCAGGAAAGCAGGGGAUCGCAAGACCUUGUGCUGACUGAGCGGCCGAGGUCAGAUUAGCUAGUUGGUGAGGUAAAGGCUCACCAAGGCGACGGUCUGUAGCGGGUCUGAGAGGAUGAUCCGCCACACUGGAGCUGAGACAGGGUCCAGACUCCUACGGGAGGCAGCAGUGGGGAAUUUUGGACAAUGGGGCAACCCUGAUCCAGCCAUGCCGCGUGAGUGAAGGAGGCCUUCGGGUUGUAAAGCUCUUUCGGCCGGGAAGAAAUCGCACGGGCUAAUACCCUGUGUGGAUGACGGUACCGGAAUAAGAAGCACCGGCUAACUACGUGCCAGCAGCCGCCGUAAAAC
rnacentral:rRNA from 1 species